GUGUGGAAACCCUAGCUCUUUGAAUCGGAUUCAAAAUCGAUUCAAAUCUUACUUCUUGAUCUAACUAAAUUGAGCCAUGGGCUAAUUUGGAUUUAGAUCUGAGUAUGGCAGCCAUUAGAUGAUGCUACAUAGACUUGUGGGGCGUCAUAACCAAGAGUCCAAGCUUGGUUGGACUCUUGGCACGCAAAGAAAGAUGGUGUGCACAUUUUGGCAUGA
rnacentral:lncRNA from 1 species